rnacentral:rRNA from 1 species
CAGUCGCCGCGGGAAAACGGAGGGGGCUAGCGUUGUUCGAAAUUACUGGGCGUAAAGCGUACGUAGGCGGCUUUGUAAGUUAGAGGUGAAAGCCUGGUGCUCAACACCAGAACUGCCUUUAAGACUGCAUCUCUUGAACGUCGGAGAGGUGAGUGGAAUUCCGAGUGUAGAGGUGAAAUUCGUAGAUAUUCGGAAGAACACCAGUGGCGAAGGCGGCUCACUGGACGACUGUUGACGCUGAGGUACGAAAGCGUGGGGAGCAAACAGGAUUAGAUACCCCCGUAGUCCCUGUCUCUUAUAC